rnacentral:lncRNA from 1 species
GGCGACCCUAUAGUCCGGUGGGCUUGAAGAUGGGUUGGAUUUGACACCCGUUUGCGCCCGAGCCGGGACGGAAAAUCCCAGUGUAUUGGACUGGCGGGGAUCGGUGGCAAAAAUUCGGACCCGCCCGCGCCGUUACCAAGCCUAUUCCCGCGAUAGCCUUCAUUGUUUCUCGCCAGAUGCCAAAGAGUUGAAAAGAAUAUCGUGAACGCACACAGCGAUUGCGAAUCUCCUUCGAAUUCGCACAGAGAUUCUCCACCAAAAUUAGGUCAAGAUGGUUUGAAUCGAGGCGAUCUUACCUCCGUGACUGCCUUCCAUCCGUCCUCCCGAUUGGUUUUUCACCAAAAUUAGGUCAUGAUCGACAACCCUUUCCUCCUUGCUGCCGUCCAUCUGUCCUCCGAUCGACAACUCUUUCCUCCUUGCUUUCUAGUUCACGCGAGUCACGACUGACAGUGAUUUUCUUCACACGUGUCUCUUUGACUGGCGGCCAUAGUCCGCUACUUAUCCAACUCAACAUCUCGUGCGAUUGCUUCCUACUCUCGACUUAGAUUCCCCUAAAAUGCCGAUGAACAUGUAAGUGGUUGAUUGUCCCUCUCAUAGUUGAUGUCUUUAGACUCCAUUACUGUGAUUAUGGUCGGCUAGGUGAUUGGAAUUGACUAGGGGCUAGUACUCAUGUCAGGUUAGAAAUGUUAGGAAUGUUUAAGGAAGGAGAAUGAUCUCAGUUGCUUGACUGGAUUUCUGUUUAUCCUCGUGUGUACUGGAUAUAUGUCAUAUGUUCGCUUCUGCCUAUACUACCGGUGCUUUUGUAUCACUUUUCCAUGGUUAAAAUAAAAAGAAUGCGUCCAAGAAACAACACAUAUAUAAGUUUGAUUAAUUUAAUUGGAUGCUCAAUUGUAUUCUUGGGUAGAUAGGAUAUGUUUUGGGGUCUGUGUUUUGACAGCAUGAACAAAUCUUUGAAAUUACUACAUGUCCACAUUGUGAAUAAGAUUUAUACCACAUCAGUAGUAAGGAGGGAAGAAGUUUCAACCAUAGCAAAUACGAAGUUUCAACCAUAACUCUCAAAAUCCUAAAUUGCUCUGCUCACCUAACUGCAUAUACGAUUUGUACAUUAUAAUCUAUUUGAUUACUGGAGGUUACUCUUCUCAUGUACUUAAUAACGGUGUUAUUACUCCACUGUUUUUUUUCUUUUGCAGAGAAAUGAACUGCUAAUAUAGCUUGAAGAGUUCUAUCUCGACUAGUUCUAUAUUGGGCUGCUCAUGUUGAAAUCGAGUAAUCAUGUUCCAGCUUUGGAUUUAUGGAAGGAAACUCGAUGCUUUCCAUAUCUCAACUAUCAACUGCAGAUUGAAGAAAGAUUUCAAUGUAGAAUAGUAAAUUUGUAAUCACAACAUAGUCUGAUUAGAGUACUUAAGUUAGAAUUCAAACAUGUGUUUUCUUUCUCUACUCACUUUAGUAUUCAAAUUACAGAGGCAUAAUAUAAAGUUAUGAUGUAGGUUUUUUUAGUCAGUUAUGAGGUAUCUUAAGAAUUUUAUUACGGUAUUUGAUAGUAGUAAUAUUUAUGUGUAUUUUAUUGCGUGUUAUAAUAAUAAUUUGAAUGUUCUAUGAAUUCGUAUUGGUUGUAUCUAAAGAUCUGGGAAAUUAAUAGAUGUAAUUGGAAGCUCGUUCUUACCACCUAUAGAAGGGAGUUCUCAUGACAAGCAUCAGACACGAAUUCACAGAGAGCAAUACACAUACAUAAUGUUUGAGAGAAGAAAGGAAAUGUAGGGAAGCAGAGAAGUCGAUUGUGGGAAGAAGGGUCUGAGCUUUUCCCAUUUCCAUUGUGUGAAUUCUUUGUUAUUGGUUCAUAUUAAAUCAUAUAUGUGGUGUUUGUUGUGUUGUAAUAGCAAGACGUGAAGUUCGAAUUAAUUAUAAAUGUCG